UACGGAGGGUGCGAGCGUUGUCCGGAAUCAUUGGGCGUAAAGGGCGCGUAGGUGGCCACUUCAAGCGUGCGGUGAAAGUCGGGGGCUCAACCCCUGAUCGGCCGUGCGAACUGGGGGGCUGGAGCACUGUAGAGGCAGGCGGAAUUCCGGGGUGUAGCGGUGGAAUGCGUAGAGAUCCGGAAGAACACCGGUGGCGAAGGCGGCCUGCUGGGCAGUUUGCUAACACUGAGGCGCGACAGCGUGGGGAGCAAACAGGG
rnacentral:rRNA from 1 species